UACGUAGGUGGCAAGCGUUAUCCGGAAUUAUUGGGCGUAAAGCGCGCGCAGGCGGUUUCUUAAGUCUGAUGUGAAGGCCCACGGCUCAACCGUGGAGGGUCAUUGGAAACUGGGGAACUUGAGUGCAGAAGAGAAAAGCGGAAUUCCACGUGUAGCGGUGAAAUGCGUAGAGAUGUGGAGGAACACCAGUGGCGAAGGCGGCUUUUUGGUCUGUAACUGACGCUGAGGCGCGAAAGCGUGGGGAGCAAACAGG
rnacentral:rRNA from 1 species